GCUGCACAAUGGAUAGAUAUUGUGGGUUUUUUCCCCAAGCCUUCCUUCAGUGAAACCCUGUCAGAAAUGUGCAGAUUUGUGGUAUUAGGAUUGCCACUUCUUCAACUUGCUGGCAGCCAGGCUUGCAUAGGUAUUUGGGAACUGGAAGAUGCAAGAAAUGUCUCAUGGAUCUCCCAGACCUUUUUGCAACAAGAAGGCUGUAUGGUCACAGCAGAGGCUGCAGACACUAAUGGAAGAUUUUGAAGGAUCUAGCAAAGGAGCUCUGUGAACCAUUAAUGAUGAUUUUCAACAAAUCUUGGUGCCCUGGGGAGGUUCCAGAAGGCUGGAAGAAAGCUUAUAUAGAGCCAACAUUUUUAAAGGUUAAACGGGAUGACUUGAGUAAUUAUAGGCCUGUCAACCUGACAUCGAUCCCAGGCAAAAUACUGGAACAGCUGAUAUGAGACUUGAUUAAUAAGGAAUUAAAGGAAGGUAAUAUAAUUAAUGCCUUUCAACAUGGGUUUAUGGAAAAUAGAUCUUGUCAAACUGGCUUGAUAUCAUUUUUAUGAGAUUACAAGCUUGGUUGAGAAAGGUAAUGGCACUGAUGUAAUGUACUUAGAUAUCUGUAAGGCAUUUGACUUGGUACCACCUGACAUUUUGGUUAAUAAAGGAGAAUGCUACAAAAUCAUUGCAGCAAACAUCAAAUGCAUUUAAAAAAAGCUAAUUGGUACAUCUCAGUAUGUAAUUGUAAAUGGGGAAUAUUCACUGAGCAGGUAUGUCACAACUGGAAUCCUGCAGAGAAUGGUUCUGGGUCCAAAGCUAUUUAAAAUUUCUAAAUAUGUCCUAAAAAAAAAAAAAAAAACCCGAAAAAGAAAAAAGCAGUCCCUAUAGAUUAUAUUGUUUAUAUAGACUACACUUACAGACCACACAAACACUAGGAAAGUAGACAUUAUUAAAAUGUGUUGUUGAUAAGCUAGAUGUUUUGGCCAAAAUCAAAUGGUUUUUGUCUAGAAAUAACAAAAGUUGGCCUUACAGACUUUACUGUAAUAGGUAACUUAUUUAGAACUCAUUACAAGUGGAUAAUCAGGAAAACAAAACUUCCAGUGCAGUAUGGUACUUAAAAGGGUUAUAAUUGCAUGUUCAGAAGGGAAUGUCAGGUCUGAGGAGGGUGGAUUUAUAUUAUUACUAAUAUUGGCAUUCCCAUGGUGAAUCCAUCUCAAGAGGGAUGUUAAUAAGCUGAGUAGCUGGGAGAACGCCCCAAAGUGCAUGUAAGGAACUGCAAGAGGUGAUUUAUCAUACAGAGCUCAAAAAAAUAUUUUCCUCCAGAAAACAGAAGACUAAUAAAGUGAACUGAUCCCAGUCCAGAAUGAUGGAAUUUGUUUUGUCCAAUUUUGUCCAUGCGAAUGACAAGCAUAGGGUUUAAACUCACUGCUUCGUCCCCUUAUUCACUCAGUGCAGAAUUUAUAUAUCUCCAGUGAGCAACUAAUCCUGUACUGGGAUAGCUGCAAUGGAUUGCCCUCAGGUAGCACCUGUUUCUCUCAAUUGGUUACAGAAGGAUCCCCAAACACAAGAUGCUUCAUUUCUGCGUGGUUAACGUUGAGUGAGAUAAUCCCACACUAAUUGCCUCCAUGGGGAAUGCAAUUUUUAAAAUGAAACCUCUUCAGUGUGUUAAAUAGCAGGCACUGAAGGCUCAAAGUUUUAUAGGGACAAAUUCAGAUUAAAAAUCAGGUGCACAUUUUUCUGUGGGAAUGUAAUUAACCUUUGGAACAAACUGCCAAGGGUUGUGGCACUUUCUACACCAAUGGAAAUUUUAAAAUUAAGAUGGAAAUUUUUUUGUAAGAUUUGCUCUACUUAAAAUACUUGGAUUUGGGGAAGUUAAGUGGCCUGCAUGGUACAAGAGGUCAGAUAAGAUCAUUGCUCUUGUCCUUUCUGGACAUAUGAUAUGUGCCGCUCUGUCUUGUGGUGCCAGUACACCUUUAAAAAAUCUUUCCUUAAGUCUUUCUCCAUUCUUAAAUUUCCUUCCUGUUAACAGUAAUUAGAAUUCCUUAACUAGGAAAACAAAGUCAUUAAGGACUUUGGGGUGUGUAAAUAUCCUGGAAAUGAAGGAUGACUAAAAAUUUAGGUUACGCUGAAGAAACAUAGAUUAUUAGAAAGAGCUUGAGUAACAUGCACUGCACAAGUGCUAAUUGUGUGUCAGUCUUGUUGGAGGUGGGUGCUGACUGGUUACCAAAUCUACUGCCAGCUUCCAUGUAAUUAGGGCACAAGUGUCUUGAAAAAGACACACAAUGUUUUCAAAAAUAUCCCACAAAAUGCCCCACAGUUUCCUAUCUGCAAUAGACACUGGAGCAAGGCCAGAUCCACCCUGCUCUUGGCCUCCACACCCUGAUGGUUCAUGGUUCAGACUAGCAAGGUCACACUGUUGAUGUGGGGUUAAGUGAACAGGAAAGCCAUUAAUAUUUAUGUGAUUUUGGCAAUGUGCUGUAUUUUCCCUGUCUCAAUUCUAUGAUUGUCAGUAUAAAAAAAAUAAAUUAAAAACCACUAAAUAGAAAGGAAAGAAAAAAAAAAAAAACAAGGAGAGAAAGAAGGAAGAAUUAGAGCCAUUCAGAGAAAAUUAUUUUCAAUUUAACAUUUGCUUUACCAUUUAAGUUAAAGUUGAAAUCCCUAUCACCAAAAGAUGAUGUGCUGGUGGAGAUAGUACACCUCAGAAGCAUUCAAAGAAUGCAAAGAAUUGAUUGAUGUCUAGAGAUGGUCACAAAAUUUCCAUGUAUAUUUAUUUGGGUGACCAAUUGGUUUUUAUGCCUCAUGAAAAUUAUCUGCUCUGGAAUUUUCCAUAUUUUGUCUUUACAUAUGUACAAACACACAAGAGAAAGUUUUUAAUUUUAACCUGAUAGUUACCAGGAGCCUCUGUUUUAAAAGCCACCAUAUUGGCUGUUAGAGAUUGGAUUUCAGAUACCUUAAUUUCUUCUUCUUUUAUGUGGGCCAGAUUUUUACCUACCUUUCCCAAAAUGCACUGAGGUGUGCUGAGAUCAGAACAUCCAUUCUCUAUCAUAUAGAAAUAACAUAUUCUGAUAAAUAAAAGGUGUUCUGCAGUUUCUCAGUGGGACUAGUGAAUCAUGGAGCCAAAGGGUGACCAGACUGUCAGAGUGACUAGGAAACACAUGAGUUACAAGCCCAUGAAGUACCAGGAUAUUUUAAAAUCAAAACUUAUAGCCUUUGGAUGAAUAUUUGGGGGAAAAAAAAUUAAAGAUGAAUACUGAGGAAAAAUUAGAAUCUUUGGAAACUUCAGGGAUAUUCAGGUGCAUAAGUAAGAAGAAGCACAUGAAAAAUAUGUAGACAAGACAAACUGAAAGCAGACUGAGCAAAUGAUAUAACGUUGGGUGAUUCUUAAAGAAAAACAUUUGAGACUGAUCCCAUUCAAGGUAGUGUGUGCCUUAAAUCCAUGGAUCCUUGGGUCCUCAGGACUAUGCCUUGAUGUGAGGAAAGGAUUUUGUUCUCUCCCUUUUCUACAUGCUUUGGCAAUGCUUUUAAGAAAUUCUAAAUGUGUUGGAAAGUGAAAGCUCUUGAGCUAUAUGGUCAAAUCUCCUCCAGGCACCUUUGGAAUUAUGUGUUUAGUGUAGGUUCUGGGCUCUUCUUUCCUUUUAUAUUAGAGCUGGGGACACUUUGACCCUGGGCUGGAAAUGCUGAAUACUUAGGGGGUAAGGAAUUUACAAGUGAGCCCUGUUGGAUGUAUCAUUGUGGCUGAGCAUCUUCUAAAAGGGAGAUCAGCCAUACUUCACCAGGGGGUUUCCCCACCUGAAAUGCAAGGAAAUUGUGCCUUGGUGGGUAUGACUUCUCCUGCCCCUGUCACUCAGCAAACAGUUGGUCAAGUGCUACCUGGAAAAUUCAAAACAAGCCCAACCCAAAAGUCACAGCCAGGCCUUGCUUCCCAACUUUCACUUUCCAUGAUGAUUUUCUGCCUGAAUACAUAUAAAAGGAAAUAAAUGGGAAUUCAAAUUCUGUGACAACUCAUUAUAGUUUUUUUCUGCUUCAGUAACCUUAUUGAUUACAGAAAAGACUGAUUGAAUGUAUGCUUCAUAUUUUUCCCCCAACACUUUCAAUAAAUCCCCUUUAUGCGCCACAAAAAAAUAAAUAAAUAAGUAAAGUGUGUCUUCCUGACAGCUGGCUGUAGAGUAAACUUAGAGCACCUGCUUUCUUCUCUUUUGUUCAUUUUUUACUGCUAAAUGAAUAACACUUAACACUAAAUAAAGAAGGAGGGUGACCAUGACUACUGAAAAAAUUUCAAAGGCAGCCUGUGCGUUGCUUGUAAAGAACUGAUUGCAAACAUAGAGUGUAGGGCAGAUAACAAUAUUCUUGCACCAUAAUCUAGCAGUAAUUCACACUGUGGUUUAAGUGCCAUAUCCUCGUGAAAGACACUGAAUAAUCUAAGGCAACUCUACUUUGUCAGGUGCCACGCAUUUCUCUGGCAAAUUUAACCGAUAACGCAUUUAAAGGUGCUGGUAGGACAAGCAGUGUCCUUGAAAGCUGGCAGGAGGGGACACAAGCAAC